UCUGGCUCAGGAUGAACGCUAGCGGCAGGCUUAACACAUGCAAGUCGAGGGGCAGCGCGGUUGUAGCAAUACAACUGGCGGCGACCGGCGAAAGGGUGCGUAACGCGUGAGCGACAUGCCCGUCACCGGGGUAUAACCGAUGGAAACGUCGACUAAUCCCCCAUAACAUCAGAGGAGGCAUCUCCUUUGGUUGAAAUUCACGGAGGUGACGGAUUGGUUCGCGUCUGAUUAGCUAGUCGGCGGGGUAACGGCCCACCGAGGCUACGAUCAGUAGGGGUUCUGAGAGGAAGGUCCCCCCACAAUGGAACUGAGACACGGUCCAUACUCCUACGGGAGGCAGCAGUGAGGAAUAUUGGUCAAUGGGCGGAAGCCUGAACCAGCCAUGCCGCGUGCAGGACGACGGCCCCCUAUGGGUUGUAAACUGCUUUUGCUGCGGAGCAAUAAGGGCCUCGAGCAGGUCCGAUGAGAGUACGCAGCGAAUAAGCAUCGGCUAACUCCGUGCCAGCCGCCGC
rnacentral:rRNA from 1 species